rnacentral:rRNA from 1 species
CAGCCGCCACGGGAAUACAGAGGGUGCGAGCGUUAAUCGGAUUUACUGGGCGUAAAGCGUGCGUAGGCGGCUAAUUGAGUCGGAUGUGAAAUCCCCGAGCUUAACUUGGGAAUUGCAUUCGAUACUGGUUAGCUAGAGUGUGGGAGAGGAUGGUAGAAUUCCAGGUGUAGCGGUGAAAUGCGUAGAGAUCUGGAGGAAUACCGAUGGCGAAGGCAGCCAUCUGGCCUAAUACUGACGCUGAGGUACGAAAGCAUGGGGAGCAAACAGGAUUAGAUACCCCCGUAGUCCCUGUCUCUUAUAC